GCGCUCUUAGUUCAGUUGGCAGAACGCAGGUCUCCAAAACCUNNGAUGUCGGGGGUUCAAGUCCUCCAGGGCGCGUCA
rnacentral:tRNA from 1 species